rnacentral:misc_RNA from 1 species
AUCGGCCACACUGCUCCUUUCGGCUCAGUCAUUCGAUCUUGCACUGAUAAAGCCGCUCUGUCGCAUUCCGCGGACAGGAUUACUAGGAGACUUACAAUGGCUAAUGGCACUGUAAAAUGGUUCAACACAACUAAAGGCUUCGGCUUUAUCGCACCAGACGGUGGUGGCAAGGACGUGUUUGUACACAUUUCUGCCGUUGAACGCGCUGGUCUGACCGGCCUGUCCGACAACCAGAAAGUGACUUUCGACAUCGAGCCCGGCCGUGACGGUCGUGAGAGCGCGUCGAACAUCGCACUGGCCUAAAUUGUCCCGACGGACGUUUAGCUAAGAAUUUUAAAGGGCUCAUCAGAAAUGAUGAGCCCUUUUG